rnacentral:rRNA from 1 species
AUGAGCCGCCGCUUUGUCCCCGUCGACAGACGCAUCUUGGAGCGGAACAUCAAGGCUCGGUACCACGCCGGAGACAUUGGCACCGAGGACGCACUCAACCUGUUCGACGAAUUGAUCCAGGUUGCUGGGCCUUCCUCGGUCCGCGCCAUUAACUGCCUCCUCACCGUGGUUGGCUCUGAUUGCCCUGCGCUCGGCGUCUCCCUCUUCAACCGCGUCGCAAGAACCAAGGUGCCUCCCCACAAUGUCACCUAUGGCAUUCUAGUUGACUGCUGCUGCCGUGCUGGCCGCCUGGACCUUGGACACGCUGCCAUGGGACACGUCAUUAAGUUGGGAUUUACAGCAGAAGCUAUCGUCAAUUUCAGCCACCUACUCAAGGCCAUCUGUGCGGAGAAGAAGACCAGUUAUGCAAUGGACAUUGUACUCCGGAUAAUGCCCGAGUUUAACUGUGUUCCGAACAUUUUCUCGUAUAACAUUCUUUUCAAGGGUCUCUGCAACGAGAAGAGAAGCCAAGAGGCUCUCGAGCUGAUUCAAAUUAUGGUUGAGGAUGGAGGUUGCUGCCGACCUGAUGUGGUGACCUAUAGCACUGUAAUUGAUGGCUUGUUGAAAGAGGGUGAGGUGGACCAAGCUUACAGGCUAUUUUCUGAAAUGCUGCGUCAGGGGGUAUCACCGAAUAUUGUGACCUGUAAUUCAAUCAUCUCUGGCAUGUGCAAGCUUCACGCGAUGGACAAGGCUGAGGAGGUUCUUCAACAGAUGCUUGAUAGACGAAUUCUGCCAGAUGUUACCACAUAUACUAGUCUAAUACAUGGAUAUUAUUCAUUAGGACAGUGCGAGGAGGUGGAUCGGGUUUUCAAAGAAAUGCCUAGAAAUGGUGUUCAACCAAAUAUUAUAACUUAUAGUAUACAGAUGGAUUAUCUUUGCAAGAAUGGAAGAUGCACAGAAGCUAGGAAGAUUUUUGAUUCCAUGAUCAGUUUGGGCUAA